GAUGAACGCUGGCGGCGUGCCUAAUACAUGCAAGUCGAGCGAACGGACGAGAAGCUUGCUUCUCUGAUGUUAGCGGCGGACGGGUGAGUAACACGUGGAUAACCUACCUAUAAGACUGGGAUAACUUCGGGAAACCGGAGCUAAUACCGGAUAAUAUUUUGAACCGCAUGGUUCAAAAGUGAAAGACGGUCUUGCUGUCACUUAUAGAUGGAUCCGCGCUGCAUUAGCUAGUUGGUAAGGUAACGGCUUACCAAGGCAACGAUGCAUAGCCGACCUGAGAGGGUGAUCGGCCACACUGGAACUGAGACACGGUCCAGACUCCUACGGGAGGCAGCAGUAGGGAAUCUUCCGAAAUGGGCGAAAGCCUGACGGAGCAACGCCGAGUGAGUGAUGAAGGUCUUCGGAUCGUAAAACUCUGUUAUUAGGGAAGAACAUAUGUGUAAGUAACUGUGAACAUCUUGACGGUACCUAAUCAGAAAGCCACGGCUAACUACGUG
rnacentral:rRNA from 1 species